UUAUGAUUCGUUAGUUUCGCAGUAUCCGAACUGAAACUCUUGCAAGAUGACGAAAUUUUGGUGGUUCGCCUGCCUGCUAUUUGUUGUAUUAGAGUUGUCGAAAGUUUCAAGUCAGCAGCCUGUAGCUAGAGAGUGCUGGGAUGGUAAAUCCUACAAUGGAACAGAGAGCAAGACCAAGAGUGGGAUAGUUUGUCAGCGUUGGGACUCAAACGUGCCACACAAGCCCAAGGCAAAGUACCUACCCUGGGCCCGAAAGAUCGCAGAAGCGUCAAAUUUCUGCCGGACUUCAUGUUCAUCUACUGAUAUCGCCAAACCGUGGUGUUACACACAGAGUAAGGACACCGUGUGGGAAUACUGUGAUGUCCCUCGAUGUCGAUGUGUUCUUGAAGGUGACUGUUGGGAUGGUAAAGUGUACAACGGGAAAAUGAGCAGGACAAGAUCCGGUAAAGCUUGCCAGGACUGGAACGCAAAAACACCACACGUACCACUGCCACAAUACCUUCCCUGGGCUUUGGACGAAGUGGCUGCUGCUAAUUACUGCCGGUUCACCGCCGAUUCCACCAAACCCUGGUGUUACACAACAAGCAAGGCGAAGAGAUGGGAAUACUGUAAUAUUCCCAGCUGCUAAGACCAGUCGCCCUAGACUACUUUCCUCGAUUACAAAAGACGGACACCACUCCUGUCAAACGAAGAAGCCUACUUGCGCUAUACCAACUGUGCGGUGAAAAUAAGACGGACCCACGAGUGCAAAACAUGGCUCAGUUAUACCCGCUGUGCCUUCGACACGGCAAUCAUUUCUCUCCUCAUAAUAAACCUGCUAACGUAAUCGAGUCAAAGAAUAUGAAAU